rnacentral:rRNA from 1 species
AUUGAACGCUGGCGGCAUGCCUUACACAUGCAAGUCGAACGACAGCACGGGAGCAAUCCUGGUGGCGAGUGGCGAACGGGUGAGUAAUAUAUCGGAACGUGCCCAGUCGUGGGGAUAACGUAGCGAAAGCUACGCUAAUACCGCAUACGAUCUAUGGAUGAAAGCGGGGGAUCGCAAGACCUCGCGCGAUUGGAGCGGCCGAUAUCAGAUUAGGUAGUUGGUGAGGUAAAGGCUCACCAAGCCGACGAUCUGUAGCUGGUCUGAGAGGACGACCAGCCACACUGGGACUGAGACACGGCCCAGACUCCUACGGGAGGCAGCAGUGGGGGAAUUUUUGGACAAUGGGCGCAAGCCUGAUCCAGCAAUGCCGCGUGCAGGAUGAAGGCC